rnacentral:rRNA from 1 species
AUUGAACGCUGGCGGCAUGCCUUACACAUGCAAGUCGAACGGCAGCACGGACUUCGGUCUGGUGGCGAGUGGCGAACGGGUGAGUAAUAUAUCGGAACAUACCCUAGAGUGGGGGAUAACGUAGCGAAAGUUACGCUAAUACCGCAUACGAACUAAGGUUGAAAGUGGGGGAUCGCAAGACCUCAUGCUCAUGGAGUGGCCGAUAUCUGAUUAGCUAGUUGGUGAGGUAAAGGCUCACCAAGGCGACGAUCAGUAGCUGGUUUGAGAGAACGACCAGCCACACUGGAACUGAGACACGGUCCAGACUCCUACGGGAGGCAGCAGUGGGGAAUUUUGGACAAUGGGCGCAAGCCUGAUCCAGCAAUGCCGCGUGAGUGAAGAAGGCCUUCGGGUUGUAAAGCUCUUUUGUCAGGGAAGAAACGGUAUCCUCUAAUACAGGGUGCUAAUGACGGUACCUGAAGAAUAAGCACCGGCUAACUACGUGCCAGCAGCCGCGGUAAUACGUAGGGUGCAAGCGUUAAUCGGAAUUACUGGGCGUAAAGCGUGCGCAGGCGGUUAUAUAAGUCAGAUGUGAAAUCCCCGGGCUCAACCUGGGAACUGCAUUUGAGACUGUAUGGCUAGAGUGUGUCAGAGGGGGGUAGAAUUCCACGUGUAGCAGUGAAAUGCGUAGAUAUGUGGAGGAAUACCGAUGGCGAAGGCAGCCCCCUGGGAUAACACUGACGCUCAUGCACGAAAGCGUGGGGAGCAAACAGGAUUAGAUACCCUGGUAGUCCACGCCCUAAACGAUGUCUACUAGUUGUCGGGACUUAAUUGUCUUGGUAACGCAGCUAACGCGUGAAGUAGACCGCCUGGGGAGUACGGUCGCAAGAUUAAAACUCAAAGGAAUUGACGGGGACCCGCACA